ACGGAAAGGAUAAAAGAGCUUCUGCUUAGGGGAGAAUGCUCUCUCCCAACCCUGUCUAUGGUUGCUCUGUUCCCUCCACGAAAGCACUUCAGUUCUCAACUUCUCUUCUCUUCUUUCGUCGAAGCCAUGCUAUAUCUCCCUCUAGGGUUUUGAGAAUCCUCAGAGGUAGUUCGGGUCCUAGUGGGGAAUCCGGUGCCGAUAGGAACCGAGAAUCUUACGCUGGAAAAAGAACCAAUUACGGAGGCCUAAAGCUUGAAGAGACUGUUGAUAUCAGGUCUGGCAAGCUCAGGCUCGAUUCGUGGAUUUUCUCUCGCAUUCAGGGCAUCAGCAGAGCUCGCGUGCAGUCCAGCAUUCGGUCGGGACUCGUUAGUGUCAACGGCCGUAUUGUUGAUAAGGUUGCGCACAAUGUCAAAGCUGGAGAUAAGGUCAAUUGCACAAUUUCAGAGUUGCAGCCCUUGAGGGCAGAACCUGAGGACAUUCCUUUGGAUAUAAUUUAUGAGGAUGAGCAUCUUUUAGUUGUUAAUAAGCCUGCACACAUGGUUGUUCAUCCUGCACCUGGGAAUCCUUCUGGAACACUCGUUAAUGGGAUUCUUCACCAUUGCAGACUUCCAACAAUCACCAAUAAGGACCACGAAGAUGAUUCUGAUGUAGAUGAUGUUUCUGAUGAUGAAGGCCUUUGUUCUAGCAUUGAUAGAAUGUCUGUUCGCCCUGGAAUUGUGCACAGACUCGACAAAGGAACUAGUGGAUUGCUUGUUGUAGCAAAGGAUGAGCAUGCUCACACCCAUCUAUCUGAACAAUUCAAGCAGCAUAGCAUCAGAAGAGUGUAUAUCAGUAUUACUUCUGGAGUGCCUUCCCCGCAUUCAGGACGUAUCGACAUUCCUAUAGGGCGUGAUUUAAAUAACAGAAUUCGCAUGGUUGCUAUGCCUGGAUCAAUAACCCGUGGGCUUGCUCGCCAUGCUAUUAGUAGGUACAAAGUAAUUGAAAUACUUGCUGGGGGUGGUUCUGCACUGGUUGAGUGGAGACUGGAAACUGGCCGCACACAUCAGAUCCGUGCACACGCUAAGUACAUGGGAAUUCCUCUACUUGGUGAUGAGGUGUAUGGAGGCACAAAGAGCAUGGCCUUGUCACUGCUUCGGCCAAGAACGCCCCCUGGUUAUCACGACCAACUUUCAGAACUGGUUUCUGGACUAGAGAGGCCUUGUCUUCAUGCUUUAGCCCUUGGUUUCAAGCAUCCACAUACAGGAGAGAAUAUGAACUUUUCACGCCCACCACCGGCAGAUUUCACUGAGAUAUUGUAUCAGUUCCGUAAGGUUGGCUCAGAGAAGCUUUUGUCCAAGGAACAAUGAGGUUUCUUAUAACAAGCUUGGGAUGUCAAGAUCAUAGACAGAAACAGGAAAACAGAAAACGACAACAAACUCCAAAUUCACACUAGGAGAAGAUUUCAUCAGCAAGGAAGAUAUCGUGAUAAUCAAAAGAAGAUUUAUGAGUUUCAAAGGCAUUUCACCAUAAAAGCCUUCACUGGUUUCUGAUGGAAUACUUGUCAACAAAAGGGAGGAUCCGAUCUACUGAAGUGAUAAUUUGAUUUCCUGUUGAAGAUGCUUUCUGGAUGUGCAUCUGGAUUCUAUCCUUCUCUUACUAAAUUAAGUAUGAGGUACGAAAUGGGGCUGUCUGAUCGGGCUUUGGGAUGAAUUGUCAACUGUGGGCGUUCCAGUUUUUCUUUCCAAAAUUGACUCAAGAGGAUAUCAAGACGCACACACACACACAGCCGUCCCAUAUUUACGAAUUACGAGAGGGACUCUGACUGGGCAAGCUGAGAUAGUUGGCCCAGCUACUCUGCACCCGGCCGUCCCAUGUUUAUGAAUUACAAGGCGGACUCAGCCCCGCCCAUAAGCUAUUCUUACUCCAUGUGAAAUUACAAUGUAAGUUCACUAUCUGUAAAUAGAGUAAACGCUGUUUUUGUUUAUAAUUCCAAAUUAGGCACAAAA